rnacentral:rRNA from 1 species
GACGAACCGUGCGAACGUUGUUCGGAAUCACUGGGCUUAAAGGGCGCGUAGGCGGGCUGUCAAGUCCGGGGUGAAAUCCUCCCGCUCAACGGGAGAACGGCCUCGGAUACUGACGAUCUCGAGGGGGAUAGGGGCACGCGGAACUGUGGGUGGAGCGGUGAAAUGCGUUGAUAUCCAUAGGAACUCCGGUGGCGAAGGCGGCGUGCUGGAUCACUUCUGACGCUGAGGCGCGAAAGCCAGGGGAGCAAACGGG